rnacentral:rRNA from 1 species
UACGGAGGGAGCUAGCGUUGUUCGGAAUUACUGGGCGUAAAGCGCACGUAGGCGGCUUUGUAAGUUAGAGGUGAAAGCCCGGGGCUCAACUCCGGAACUGCCUUUAAGACUGCAUCGCUUGAAUCCAGGAGAGGUGAGUGGAAUUCCGAGUGUAGAGGUGAAAUUCGUAGAUAUUCGGAAGAACACCAGUGGCGAAGGCGGCUCACUGGACUGGUAUUGACGCUGAGGAGCGAAAGCCAGGGGAGCAAACGGG